rnacentral:rRNA from 1 species
AUUGAACGCUGGCGGCAGGCUUAACACAUGCAAGUCGAGCGGAGAUGAGGUGCUUGCACCUUAUCUUAGCGGCGGACGGGUGAGUAAUGCUUAGGAAUCUGCCUAUUAGUGGGGGACAACAUUCCGAAAGGAAUGCUAAUACCGCAUACGCCCUACGGGGGAAAGCAGGGGAUCUUCGGACCUUGCGCUAAUAGAUGAGCCUAAGUCGGAUUAGCUAGUUGGUGGGGUAAAGGCCUGCCAAGGCGACGAUCUGUAGCGGGUCUGAGAGGAUGAUCCGCCACACUGGGACUGAAACACGGCCCAGACUCCUGCGGGAGGCAGCAGUGGGGAAUAUUGGACAAUGGGCGGAAGCCUGAUCCAGCCAUGCCGCGUGUGUGAAGAAGGCCUUUUGGUUGUAAAGCACUUUAAGCGAGGAGGAGGCUACCUGGAUUAAUACUCUAGGAUAGUGGACGUUACUCGCAGAAUAAGCACCGGCUAACUCUGUGCCAGCCGCCGCGGUAACAC